rnacentral:lncRNA from 1 species
CUCCCCCACACCACCUGCUCUCUCCUCUUGCACAACCAACGGUUUAUUCAACAAAUACCAAAUAAGCAUUUGCCCUGGGCUGGUCUCUGAGCAACUGAGUCAUUAAGGGUGCGAUGUGGGGCCCUUUUGAGACCACCCAGCAGAGGGCUGGCUCCCGUGGGUGCUCACUGCUGCAGCUCCUCACCUCUCUCUGACUGGCUCAGGUGCUAUGGGGACAGAAGCCUGGGACACCAAGCGUGAACCCAGGGUGGCACCCAUAGAGCAGUAGGCAACACGCUUGUCACCACUGUGAUUGCCUGGCACUUCCAAUGGAGCAGACCACAGCACUUGAACCAGGACGGCCGAAGGAGGCUGUUCCUGAGCACACAGCUCCCCUGGAUUGUGCAGUGCCCGUCCUGCACAGCUGCACCGUGGCUCUAGCCCUCCAGCCCAGGCGGUCUCUGUAACAGCCCGUGAGAAAGACAAAUAUAUGGCUGACCUCGGGUGAGAAGCCAGGCCUGCUGCUGCCUCAGGACCCCCCCACCCCCAGCCUUGAGGGGCACAGAGAGCACUUCUCAUGCCAAAGCUCAGGGGGCCCCUUUCCUAAACUCUCCUCCUGGUGGUCCUGGGGCUCCAGGAAUGUGGGCUGUCAUUCUCCUCCUGUCGAUAGAGCCAGCCCUCGGACCUGUAGCCUCAGGGGAUGCAUGGGCUGCGGCCUGUCCAAGGCAGCUGAUGCUCCCCAGGCACAGGACUCUCCAUCCCUGACCACCGAGAUCCAGGUGAGUGGAGCCGCCCCAUGAGGUCACGGCUGUCCCGUUUAUCAGCCGGACUGAGAGUCAGGCCCAACCCCCAAGGCAUGCAGGGGAGUUGGCAGGGCCAGCCUCUGAGAAUGCCAGGCCGCCAGGGUGAGUGUCUGGGGCAGAGGCCUCCUGGCCAACUCUAACAACACGCUCCGUUGGCAGAUUCUCUGCCUCCCGCCAGGUGGCCCAUUAACCACCUCAGAUGCCACUAGAGCUGUGUCCAGAGCUGGGCUGCGCCAGGCGGGUCUGCCACUUGUUGAGCACUGACUGUAUGCUGACACAGUGCCAGGCCCCUCAUCAAAGUGACCUGUUGAAUGUCCUCACUCCCCGAAUUUCAGUGAGACACCUCAGCAAGGUCACGAGAUUCAUCCCAGGUUGCGUGACAACAAGGCCGGGCCCACCUGUCCUAGAGGCAACAGCGCACAGAUCUGCUGCCUCGGGUCCCCUCAUCUGCCACCUGGGCAGACAUGCCGGGUCUGCAGCCCCCAGCCCAGGGCCUGCCCAGGAAGGAGCCAAGGAUGGAGGGGAGGAAGCCGGGCUGAGCAGGGACCAGAGAGACAGAGGCCCAGUGCAGGGCGCCUUGGGUCUCGCCUUCCUCCCUGGCGCGGAGGACCGGUGCUGAGCAGGCAGGUGCGGUCCACUCCCAGGGAGCCUGGAGAGGCAGACGGCCGCACUCGGCAGGACGGGGAACUGUGGGGAGCAUCACUUCCAAGCUAGGCUAGCCUUCGGGUCCUCUUAACAAGGCAAUUUUGUAAAAACUUGAUUAAGCAGCAAUGACGACGGCAUGUCCACUCAGACCAGGUGUCCGGGCGUCUCCUCCCGACCUCCCUUCUCCCUCCAGCUGCUCACGUUCUUACCGAGCAUCCCUCUGCUCCGCUCCCCACAGCCCCUCUGUUCAGACCUCCUCCUUCCUGCCCAGACUCUCAGGGGUUCCGGUCCAACACAAACCUGAGCCCAUCUCCCCUGCAAAGUCUUCCCAAGGCCCCCGCUGCCCUCAGGUGGAAGCCUAAACCCAUGGCCUCCCCCCACGGUGCCAGCGGCCCCUCUGCAGACAGCGAGGCCUCUGUACAGCUGUUCCCUCUGCCUGGAAUGCCCUUCCUGCCACCCCCCGGAGGACCCGCCCUCAUCGCCCUGGAUCCUCGAGGAAGCAGCUCUCUGACUCCCCUCCUCUGCCCGUCUGGUGCCAGGCGCUGUGCGAGGCCCAUGCAGGUGCUCCAUGAACGCCAGCAGGGCAGAUGGCUGUGUUUCCCAGCUGAAACCAGGACACUGUGGCAGUCUUAGUUUCAACAAGCACAUAAUAAGCCUCAAGAACGCAGGAUCACACAGACGUGCCGGGCAGGUGCUCCCCUUUCUCCUCCAUGGAGCAUCUCACCAGCCGCAGGGCUGGUCCGCAGACCUGUGCGCAUGGCUCUCAGCUGCCUUCGCCAUGCGCCAGGCGCUGAACGCCCAUUUCCCAGCCUCCCUCUCCGCUGGGAUGGCCAUGUGUUAUGGGCUGAGUUGAGUCCCCCAAAAUCCAUACGCUGAAGCCCUAAUUCCAGCAGCUCAGAAUGUGACUCUAUUUGGAGAUACAGUCUUUAAAGAGGUAAAAUGAGGUCUCUAGGGCGGCCCUCAUCCAGUCUGACCAGGGUCCUUAUGAGAAGAGGGGAUCAGGACACAGACACACAGAGGGACGGCCAGGUGAGGACACAGGGAGGAGACAGACAUGAACAAGCCAAGGGGAGAGGCCUCAGAAGGAACCGAUGCUGCCCACACCUGGAUCUUGGAUGUCCAGCCUCCAGGGCAGGGAGCAUAGAUUCCAGGCUGGCUCCUGGCUUCCGCGGCCCCAGCAAAUUUGUGCUCUGUGCAGCCGAGGUCUGGGCAGCGAGGUGUAAACUGAAGUUUGGGGAUGGGGUUUCUGGGAAGGUGUUAGGAAAGCGACAGCCUCUGCUGGGAGCCCCUUUGCCCUCCCUCGCUGCCUGCCUGGAAAGACAACACCCAUUCUGAGACCGUGGGGAAGCCGGGGAUGGUGAUGAGAAAAACAUGGAGGCAGCAGGGUCCUUGAAGGGCUGGCUGGGCUCCGGCUCCUCAUUGGUGGGAUGCACCCCCACCUGCUUCAGCCACUGCCCAGCGGGUUUCCUGCUCCUCACAGCAUCCUUGGGGGACCAGCGCCUGCUCUCGUUCUGUGCACUCUUCCCCCGGCCCCUCCAUCCCUCCCCCGUAAGGGGCCGGCUGCUUCUCCACGCUCACAUCAAACCACCCGUCCAUCUGUCUCACCCACACUGCAGACCCACGGCCACAAAAGCAGCCGGUCCCGGUCCGAAGACGCUGCGAGCAGAC